rnacentral:lncRNA from 1 species
GGCCCAGAGUGCUGAAGUGCUGAAGCUCCUGUAGAAGGUCCUUCCAUGUGUCUUUCAGAUCCUGGGCUUGGCCUUCUCCAUAACCAUCACCCAGCACAUCCACUGGACUGGGUCUUGCUCUGUCAUCCAGACUGGAGUACAGUGGUGCAACCACGGCUCACUGCAGCCUUGAACUCCUGGGCUCAAGCAAUCCUCCUACCUCAGCCUCCAUAGCAGUCGGGACCACAGAUGGAGUCUUGCUUUGUCGCCCAGGGUUGAAGUGUAGUGGCACAAUCUUGGCUCACUGUAACCUCCACCUCCCGGGUUCAAGCAAUUCUCCUGCCUCAGCCUCCCGAGUAGCUGGGAUUACAGCGUGGCCAUCCAGCCUGCCCUGAUUUCUCCUGAGCAUACAAGUGCCUGGUCCACACGUCCACAA